ensembl:snRNA U6 U6 spliceosomal RNA
GUGCUCCCUUCAGCAGCACAUAUAAUAAAAGUUAUACAAUACAGAGAAGAUUAGCAUGGCCCCUGUGCAAGGAUGACAUGCAAAUUCAUGAAGAGCUCCAUAUUAAA